CCUACGGGGGGCAGCAGUGGGGAAUAUUGGACAAUGGGGGCAACCCUGAUCCAGCCAUGCCGCGUGUGUGAAGAAGGCCCUCGGGUUGUAAAGCACUUUCAGUGAGGAAGAACGCCUGGUGGUUAAUACCCAUCAGGAAAGACAUCACUCACAGAAGAAGCACCGGCUAACUCCGUGCCAGCAGCCGCGGUAAUACGGAGGGUGCGAGCGUUAAUCGGAAUUACUGGGCGUAAAGCGCGCGUAGGUGGCUUGAUAAGCCGGGUGUGAAAGCCCCGGGCUCAACCUGGGAACGGCAUCCGGAACUGUCAAGCUAGAGUGCAGGAGAGGAAGGUAGAAUUCCCGGUGUAGCGGUGAAAUGCGUAGAGAUCGGGAGGAAUACCAGUGGCGAAGGCGGCCUUCUGGACUGACACUGACACUGAGGUGCGAAAGCGUGGGUAGCAAACAGGAUUAGAUACCCUUGUAGUC
rnacentral:rRNA from 1 species